rnacentral:rRNA from 1 species
AAGGGUGCGCAGGCGGAUUGGUAAGUCAGCGGUGAAAGUUUGCAGCUUAACUGUAAAAAUGCCGUUGAAACUGUCGGACUUGAGUGUAAAUGAGGUAGGCGGAUGCGUGGUGUAGCGGUGAAAUGCAUAGAUAUCACGCAGAACUCCGAUUGCGAAGGCAGCUUACUAAGCUACAACUGACACUGAAGCACGAAAGCGUGGGGAUCAAACAGGAUUAGAUACCCUGGUAGUCCACGCAGUAAACGAUGAUUACUAGCUGUUUGCGAUACACAGUAAGCGGCACAGCGAAAGCGUUAAGUAAUCCACCUGGGGAGUACGCCGGCAACGGUGAAACUCAAAGGAAUUGACGGGGGCCCGCACAAGCGGAGGAACAUGUGGUUUAAUUCGAUGAUACGCGAGGAACCUUACCCGGGUUUGAACGUAGGGAGACAGGGGUGGAAACAUCCUUUUCAGCAAUGACUGCCUACGAGGUGCUGCAUGGUUGUCGUCAGCUCGUGCCGUGAGGUGUCGGCUUAAGUGCCAUAACGAGCGCAACCCUUAUUUCCAGUUACUAACAGGUGAAGCUGAGGACUCUGGAGAGACUGCCAGCGUAAGCUGUGAGGAAGGUGGGGAUGACGUCAAAUCAGCACGGCCCUUACAUCCGGGGCGACACACGUGUUACAAUGGUAAGGACAAAGGGCAGCUACCGGGCGACCGGAUGCGAAUCUCUAAACCUUAUCUCAGUUCGGAUCGGAGUCUGCAACUCGACUCCGUGAAGCUGGAUUCGCUAGUAAUCGCGCAUCAGCCAUGGCGCGGUGAAUACGUUCCCGGGCCUUGUACACACCGCCCGUCAAGCCAUGGGAGCCGGGGGUACCUGAAGUUCGUAACCGCAAGGAUCGACCUAGGGUAAAACUGGUGACUGGGGCUAAGUCGUAACAAGGUAGCCG